GUUCGGAAAGAGUUAAAAAGCACCAACUUUGAGCUACCAGGUGCGUGCUGGAAUUUGAAGACUGAACUGAAGACUGUUUUCCAGCUGGAAGUGGAAGACCACAGAACUGAAAAGAGAGAGUGAGAGAGAGAGAGAGAGAGAAGACCAGCAGGUGUUGCCUUGCGCUCUGGGCUGAAUCGGGAAGCAAAAACUUAUUAAGCCAGUAAAGUCGCUGUCAAGCCCUUUCCUCUCCUGCUGCAGCAGGGCAAGACCAUUCUCUGAAGAUUUAAGAAGUUGGAUAGCAAAGAAAAAAUGCAAAGAGCACAUCUUCCCCUCUGUACCGAAUUCACACUGUGCAUCAAAUUGCCAAUACCCACAAUCACUCUGGCUGUGUCUCACUCAAGAUGAGAUCGCUCCCCUGCUCAUGUGCAAGCUCACUGAAAUAUUGUAUGUAUUGUAGUUAUAAGUUAGUAAUUGGAGGCUGAGCACAGAAUUGUACAACAUUUUUCUGAAACCUCUUUCGACGGAACCUUGGAUACUGUGGGUGAUUUAUUUGAAAAUUAUUUUCCAAUAGGCCAUCUACCUUAUACUGGUCCUGGUGAAUCAUGCCAAAUAAUUUCAACCAGAGUGUCAAUUUAAAGGUUGCUUAUCUAAAGAUUUUGUGAUUUUGUGCAAUUUAACAUGACUGAAUUUCUUUGCAAAAUCUCCUCACAUUUAAGGUAAGAGUGCAAAUCGACUGGAAUGCCAAGUUCUGAUUCCCUUUAUGCUCCAGGAUGCUAACUGUAGAAAAACAAAGAUAAUUGCAAGUGGGCAGGCACUGCCUGCGAGUACAACAUUUUAUAGGUGACAUUUUAUUACUGUCUGAUAUAGAAAAAUUUGUUCCUCUACAAAAUGAAAUCUAAUUAAACUGAAUUCAGUUUAA